ensembl:lncRNA novel transcript
UAAGUCACUGAAGUGUACCCUUUAAGCCAGGGAGGGACAGGGCCACACUUUCAGUGCUAACAAUUGGUUUCUCUCUGAGAAUGAAGUCUGCAAUCUGUCACAUCAGAACAGGAAGAGAGGAUUUGAGGGAGAACCCCUUCUCAGAUCUCCAGAGUGUGGAAGGGACGUUUUGGUGCUGGCUAUGGCUUUGUGACACUGCAGUUGAAACGGGCAAAGUGGGCUCCUCACUUGAAGAACUUUGAUGCCUCUAAAUGCUCUGAUGAGAAAAAACUUGUCCUCAAAA